CGGGACGGGUGGGUAAUGUAUGGGGAUCGGCUCGAUGGCGGGGGAUAACUACUGGAAACGGUAGCUAAUACCGCAUAAUGUCACGGACCAAAGAGGGGGACCUUCGGGCCUCUUGCCAUCGGAUGUGCCCAGAUGGGAUUAGCUAGUAGGUGGGGUAACGGCUCACCUAGGCGACGAUCCCUAGCUGGUCUGAGAGGAUGACCAGCCACACUGGAACUGAGACACGGUCCAG
rnacentral:rRNA from 1 species